AGUCGAGCGGUAGAGAGAAGCUUGCUUCUCUUGAGAGCGGCGGACGGGUGAGUAAUGCCUAGGAAUCUGCCUGGUAGUGGGGGAUAACGUUCGGAAACGGACGCUAAUACCGCAUACGUCCUACGGGAGAAAGCAGGGGACCUUCGGGCCUUGCGCUAUCAGAUGAGCCUAGGUCGGAUUAGCUAGUUGGUGAGGUAAUGGCUCACCAAGGCGACGAUCCGUAACUGGUCUGAGAGGAUGAUCAGUCACACUGGAACUGAGACACGGUCCAGACUCCUACGGGAGGCAGCAGUGGGGAAUAUUGGACAAUGGGCGAAAGCCUGAUCCAGCCAUGCCGCGUGUGUGAAGAAGGUCUUCGGAUUGUAAAGCACUUUAAGUUGGGAGGAAGGGCAGUUACCUAAUACGUGAUUGUUUUGACGUUACCGACAGAAUAAGCACCGGCUAACUCUGUGCCAGCAGCCGCGGUAAUACAGAGGGUGCAAGCGUUAAUCGGAAUUACUGGGC
rnacentral:rRNA from 1 species